rnacentral:miRNA from 1 species
GCCCCCCUUGCUGUCUGUCUCC